rnacentral:tRNA from 1 species
GACGGUAUAGCUCUAAAGGUAGAGCUCACGCUUAGCACGCACGAGGUCCUCGGUUCAAUCCCUGGUACCUUCG